rnacentral:misc_RNA from 1 species
UUUCCGUAGGUGAACCUGCGGAAGGAUCAUUAGUGAGUGGUCAUGGGGUUCGAUGCUGGCAGCCAAUUUUUGGAUGCAUGUGCUUGCCCUAACAAUCAUCUUCCAAACACCUGUGCACAUUUUUGAGGGAGUCUUGAGUUGGUUGCCGCUCUUGGGUGAUUUUCUCACAUUCCCUUAAAUCAUUAUACGCUAUUAACAAUGUUGAACGUGCUCUGUGCCGCAAGGCUAUUAAUAUAAUACAACUUUUAACAACGGAUCUCUUGGCUCUC